UCGGCUGCUGUAGAUGUUUUCCGUCAAGAGAGUUUUGAAGAUUCUAUUUCACAUAGCCAAAUGUUCUUAUUUAGGUUGGUUAAAUGUGGUAAGACCUAGUUAAAACUAGGCGUGAUUUAAUCUCAGUUUCCGUAAUAAAUUUGUAUAUUUCAUAUGAACACGUGAAAUGUGCCGCAAAAUCUAAUUCGGCUGUAACUAACUGUAAUUUGUAAGCAGUUUUCUGAAAAGGGAGGUGUGUUAACCGCAUAUUUUCCCAAAAAGUGUAGUAUUUGAUGAUAAGCUUGUAUUGUAACGUUUGCACAGGUCAAAAAAGUCAUUGUCACUUCAUGUGCCCACAGAAUUAAGUUACAAGUACAUGACGUCCCAGUGCAGCAGUUCGCAAACUAAUAAGUAUGAGCAGAAGCACACCAAGUUCUUAAAGUUAUUCUCUACACAAUAGUCUAGUCAUUAUCUAGGUUUGUUUGUUUUCCAUUCAACAUUAACAUUUGUCAUGUCAAGACACAGUUCACAACCGCCGAGAAGAAACAAGGGGUACAUUGCAUCAUAUGAAGGUAAACGUUGAUUAACACUGACAACAGUUCAAUUUGCCACUUUCAUUAUUAUAAUAUAUUUGUCCAUGUGAAAUAAGAUAUAGUGCUGCCUCAAGGUUCAAAUAAUAUAACCGCCAAGAAAUGUUCGCAGUCACAAGGCAUGAACACAAAAACCAAAUGUUUUCAUUUUUUUAAGGUUAUGAAAUCAGUAAAACCAGCCCACAUCCGUUGGGGAAGGGUGUAACCAGCAGCCGCCCCCUCCCCGCUUUUUCUAAAGACCCCGGUCAGCCUGAGUAAAAAUUGCUUUAAGUAUAGUGGAACCUCUGCUCGAAAACAACAAUGUAAUAAUUCGAUAUUGCUAAGCCCCAUAAAUAAAUCAGAGGUUCUCAGUCAUAAUAAAAUGUGCUAGUGUCAUAUUGGAACCACUCUCACACAUAAUAAGUAUAUCAUUAUCAGAAGUAGUGUUUCCUCAAAGAUUAAAAAUUUCAAAAGUCAAAACCAUUGUAUAAAAAGGGCAAUAUAUAUGAAGUGGGAAAUUAUAGAUCGAUAGCUUUGUUAUCUAUGUUUUCAAAAGUAAUAGAGAUAGUAACGAAACAUAGAAUUGAAAAGUCCCUUGAAAAAUUCAGUCUUGUGUCUGUAAACCAAUGUGGUUUUCGCAGAGGACUGAGUACAGAAGCAGCUACUACCCAUUUCACUGAAAAUAUUGUAAUGGGAUUAGACAGAAACAGCAGUACAACAGGAAUAAAUUUGGACUUACUGAAGGCAUUUGAUAUUGGUCAACAUAAUAUUUUGCUAGACAGAUUACACUAUUGGUAUACAAGGAGAUGUGAAAAAAUGGUUCCGGUCUAAUCUCUGCAAUAGAAGAAGACUGUGCCAGUUGGGGUGCCACAGGGAAGUGUUCUAGGACUUCAUGUAUUUCUAAUUUACAUAAAUGACAUCAAGAUUCCAGUCAGUGGUACUCAUAAAACCAUGUUUUCUGAUGAUACAACUGUUGUUGUAACUGAUAUAAACCAGUUACAGGAAAACAGUCAGAAACUGACAUGGACAUCAGAAUACAAAAUAAACAUGUUACGAGAGCAGCAGUCACUAAAUUUUUAGGUGUCCAUAUAUGAAAAUUUAGAUUGGAUGGCCCACAUGCACUAUCUCACUAACAAGUUAAGUUGUGAUUGCUUUGCACUAUGUGUAAGUAUUAAUUUGGCUAGUAAACAGUGUAGCAGAAUUGUUUACAUUCUCACUGCUAUUAUCUAUGGCCUCACUUUCUGCGGUCAUGAUAAGACAAAUCUAAAAACAGUCUGUACACAACAAAAACGAGCUGUUAGAAUAAUUAAAAACAGUUUGAGGCUAACACCCUCCAAGCAAUGACUAAAUAUUCUACAUUUAUCAUGCCUCUACAUACAGAAAAGUGUAGUCAGUAUAAAAAGAUGCAUGGAUGUUGUUGACUCUGUGUCAGUGUUUGUUUGGGAUUGUUGAGGAAGACGACCACCAGCCAUGAAUUUUCUUACCACAAAGGGGUUUUGGACCACUGUGCCCAUCUUCAGAAGGCUGCACUUAUUUUAGUGCUGGUACUAUGUCAGAAUCAUUAGCAGCAUAUCAUCUCCUCCUGUUCUGCAUGAAACUAUUUAUGUAGUUAGUGCUGUUUUAGAUGCUGUUUGGAUGACUUAUAUGAUAAUAGGUUUGUAGUUACUUUAUACAGUUAAAUGGCAUAUUUCUAUAUGUUAUACAUAUCAUUCUUACAGCUCAUGUAGUUGCACUAACAUAAAUAUUUGUGUGCAAUAUAGAAGCAGGUACCAUGCUGCUGACUACUGUGACA